AUGAACGCUGGCGGCGUGCCUAAUACAUGCAAGUCGAGCGAACGGACGAGAAGCUUGCUUCUCUGAUGUUAGCGGCGGACGGGUGAGUAACACGUGGAUAACCUACCUAUAAGACUGGGAUAACUUCGGGAAACCGGAGCUAAUACCGGAUAAUAUUUUGAACCGCAUGGUUCAAAAGUGAAAGACGGUCUUGCUGUCACUUAUAGAUGGAUCCGCGCUGCAUUAGCUAGUUGGUAAGGUAACGGCUUACCAAGGCAACGAUGCAUAGCCGACCUGAGAGGGUGAUCGGCCACACUGGAACUGAGACACGGUCCAGACUCCUACGGGAGGCAGCAGUAGGGAAUCUUCCGCAAUGGGCGAAAGCCUGACGGAGCAACGCCGCGUGAGUGAUGAAGGUCUUCGGAUCGUAAAACGCUGUUAUUAGGGAAGAACAUAUGUGUAAGUAACUGUGCACAUCUUGACGGUACCGAAUCAGAAAGCCACGGCUAACUACGU
rnacentral:rRNA from 1 species